GACCCGAAACCCGGUGAUCUAGCCAUGGGCAGGUUGAAGGUUGGGUAACACUAACUGGAGGACCGAACCGACUAAUGUUGAAAAAUUAGCGGAUGACCUGUGGCUGGGGGUGAAAGGCCAAUCAAACCGGGAGAUAGCUGGUUCUCCCCGAAAGCUAUUUAGGUAGCGCCUCGUGAAUUCAUCUCCGGGGGUAGAGCACUGUUUCGGCUAGGGGGCCAUCCCGGCUUACCAACCCGAUGCAAACUGCGAAUACCGGAGAAUGUUAUCACGGGAGACACACGGCGGGUGCUAACGUCCGUCGUGAAGAGGGAAACAACCCAGACCGCCAGCUAAGGUCCCAAAGUCAUGGUUAAGUGGGAAACGAUGUGGGAAGGCCCAGACAGCCAGGAUGUUGGCUUAGAAGCAGCCAUCAUUUAAAGAAAGCGUAAUAGCUCACUGGUCGAGUCGGCCUGCGCGGAAGAUGUAACGGGGCUAAACCAUGCACCGAAGCUGCGGCAGCGACACUCAGGUGUUGUUGGGUAGGGGAGCGUUCUGUAAGCCUGUGAAGGUGGCCUGUGAG
rnacentral:rRNA from 1 species